ACGGAAGGCAGCAGUGGGGAAUAUUGGGCAAUGGGCGAAAGCCUGACCCAGCAACGCCGCGUGAGGGAAGAAGGGUUUCGGCUCGUAAACCUCUGUCCUAUGGGACGAAGGGAGUGACGGUACCAUAGGAGGAAGCCCCGGCUAACUACGUGCCAGCAGCCGCGGUAAUACGUAGGGGGCGAGCGUUGUCCGGAAUGAUUGGGCGUAAAGGGCGCGUAGGCGGCCUGAUAAGUCUGGAGUGAAAGUCCCGCUUUCAAGGUGGGAAUGGCUUUGGAUACUGUCGGGCUUGAGUGCAGGAGAGGAAAGCGGAAUUACCGGUGUAGCGGUGAAAUGCGUAGAGAUCGGUAGGAACACCAGUGGCGAAGGCGGCUUUCUGGACUGAAACUGACGCUGAGGCGCGAAAGCGUGGGGAGCAAACAGGAUUAGAUACCCUGGUA
rnacentral:rRNA from 1 species